ACAGCAGGUCGGUUUGUCGCCCCGUAUUCGUUCGGGGAGGAAAGUCCGGGCAACACAGAGCACCAUACUUCCUAACGGGAAGCUGUUCGCAAGAACAGAGCAACGUAACAGAAAAUAACCGUCUGCCUUUAGGCAGAUAAGGGUGAAAAGGUGAGGUAAGAGCUCACCGGAUGUUGCAGCAAUGCAGCAUGCCGUACGUCUUAUGGGUUGCAAGGCCAAAUAUAUCGGAUGUGUAGGGUUGCUCGCCCGAUGCCGAGGGGUAGGCCGCUAAAGAACGAUGGUGACAUCGGUUCGCAGAUAGAUGACAAACAUCCGUCGAAUGACGGAUACAGAACCCGGCUUACAGACCUGCUGUUUAU
rnacentral:RNase_P_RNA from 1 species